CAGCAGCCGCGGUAAUACGAAGGGGGCGAGCGUUGCUCGGAAUGACUGGGCGUAAAGGGCGCGUAGGUGGUACGGACAGUCAGAUGUGAAAUUCCCGGGCUCAACCUGGGGGCUGCAUUUGAUACGUCCGAACUAGAGUGUGGAAGAGGGUCGUGGAAUUCCCAGUGUAGAGGUGAAAUUCGUAGAUAUUGGGAAGAACACCGGUGGCGAAGGCGGCGACCUGGUCCAUUACUGACGCUGAGGCGCGAAAGCGUGGGGAGCAAACAGGAUUAGAUACCCCGGUAGUCCCUGUCUCUUAUAC
rnacentral:rRNA from 1 species